UACGUAGGGUGCGAGCGUUAAUCGGAAUUACUGGGCGUAAAGCGUGCGCAGGCGGCGACAUAAGACAGAUGUGAAAUCCCCGGGCUCAACCUGGGAACUGCGUUUGUGACUGUGUUGCUAGAGUGUAGCAGAGGGGGGUGGAAUUCCACGUGUAGCAGUGAAAUGCGUAGAUAUGCGGAGGAACACCGAUGGCGAAGGCAAUCCCCUGGGCCUGCACUGACGCUCAUGCACGAAAGCGUGGGGAGCAAACAGGAUUAGAAACCCGUGUAGU
rnacentral:rRNA from 1 species